rnacentral:rRNA from 1 species
UUUAACGGCCGCGGUAUUUUGACCGUGCGAAGGUAGCGUAAUCACUGUCUUUUAAAUGAAGACCUGUAUGAAUGGCAUAACGAGGGCUAAGCUGUCUCCCUUAUCUGGUCAAUGAAAUUGAUCUGCCCGUGCAGAAGCGGGCAUACCACCAUAAGACGAGAAGACCCUAUGGAGCUUUAGACACUAGACAGCCCGAGUAACAGCCCCCUGCGCCCCCAGAAUGAACCCACACGGCCCCCUGUCCCCAUGUCUUCGGUUGGGGCGACCGCGGAGGAGAACAGACCCCCCGCAUGGAACGGAGAAAUUUUGAACCCGAGAUAAGCNCUACAGGCCUAAUCGACAGAACUUCUGGCCACCAAGACCCGGCUAUUUAGCGCCGAUCAAUGGACCCAGUUACCCUAGGGAUAACAGCGCAAUCUCCUUUUAGAGCCCAAAUCGACAAGGGGGUUUACGACCUCGAUGUUGGAUCAGGACUUCCUAAUGGUGCAGCCGCUAUUA